UCCGUUUUCACAACGGCAGUCUCUCUAGAGUCCCCGGCCGAACCGUUGGCAACUAGAGACAAGGGUUUCGCUCGUUGAGGGACUUAACCCGACAUCUCACGACACGAGCUGACGACAGCCAUGCAACACCUGUCCACGUUUCACCCUUGCGGGCAGAGAAUCCCGCUUUCGCAGGCCUCAUCCGUGGAUUUCAAACCCGGGUAAGGUUCUUCGCGUUGCUUCGAAUUGAACCACAUGCUCCACCGCUUGUGUGAGCCCCCGUCAAUUCCUUUGAGUUUUAGCCUUGCGACCGUACUCCCCAGGCGGGGCACUUAACGCAUUUGUUACGGCAGAGACAGUAUCGACACCACCUCUACCCAGUGCCCAUCGUUUACAGCUAGGACUAC
rnacentral:misc_RNA from 1 species